AUCGGUUGGUGGCGCAACCCACCACCCUGUUUCAAAGAAGACGCUCAUAGCAUUCAUUCGUCUACUCUGCUCUCUAUUUUGCAACUGCCGGUCGCCGGGCGGUUGCGCGAGCCGUUGUGGCGUGUUUGUCUAAUCGUGUGGUUUUGUGUUUGGUGUAACGAAAUGUGACUUAGUUCGCGAACACAGAAGUGCCAGAAGAUAGCUUGUGUCUCUCUGAAACUCGCCAUAUGCGUGGCGUGCCAGGAAAAUGGGGACCAACGAUUUUCAUGCCCUGGAGUGCGUUCUCUUUUGUGUCUGGUUGCGGGAAGUUCGCUGGACGUCGCAAAGAAAUAAUGUGUAUUAUUAGCGUGCCUCAGCUCGUCCACUACGUAACGGCGUGUAGACUGGGAGUCGACGCAGCACCGGCAACUUGGAGAGCGCUUUUCGACCGCGUCGUACCAUUCAAAAGUGGCGAGGCCGUAACCCACACCAGUGUCCACAUAAUGGAGGAGCCAGCAGAAAUGCAGGGAAACCUUGAAUGACUGCCAUAGCGCAGUGUGUAAUCUGAUUGCUUGGUUCAGUGAUAUCAUGCACAGGAACAUCAGCUUGGACCCCAAAUUUGGAUCCUUUCUGCAGAUGUUGCAUAAUCUUCUCUGGUAUAUGGAUGUCCCCCAUGACGCUGACAUUGCUUCCAUCUUGCGUCAUUUUCUUGUCUCCUGUACAACAGAGCAACAUAUUCAAGAUGCACCUCCACCUGCACUCCAUGAGCUGUGCCACUAGGCGCUUCAAAGACGCGAGCUUCUUAAUCACAAGCCAGUCAGGAUGGUCCUUAAAUCACAGAAGGUGCAACCUGUCCUGAGCGACUUAUUCUGCAAAGUCUUUUCACG